UACCUCUGCCUUAGCACAUUAAUCCAAGCAUCUAUAUGCUGCAUAUUAAAUAUAACAAGUUAGAAGUUACCAGACGACUUAAAUAUAAGUCGUCUACGUGGUCGUCCAAGUAGACGACUUUCCAGACGAUUUAUCUUUAAGUCGUCUGGAAAGUAGUCUACUUGGACGACUUUGUAGACGACUUAAAUCGUGUGCAGAAGACUUACGCAGUCUUCCAGCCAUCCUCUGGCUGUCCGGAGGAAGUGGUACCACCUUGUUGGUGAUGUACGUGGUUUGUCCUCGGUCUUAGUUAAAUAAUGACUGCAAACAAAAAAGCAAUCAGUUUUGGACGACUAAAUCAAGCUAUUAUGGGUAAAGCAAUCACUUACGGAUCAGUUUUCAACCAAUCAGCGAGUUCCUUCAACUUAUCUUUGUUUACUGGCGGAAAUGGAUUAUAGGCUGCCACUUUAUCUUUUUUUUUCUCUGCCGUAUAAGGAGAUCUCACAGUGGGAGCAGGUUUCUUCGCUCGUUUACUCUUUGCACGCUUGUCCAAUACAACCAGGCUCGGUUCUGAAACUGGAUCGCUUGGCUCGGUGGAAGCGAGGCUCGGUUGUUGAUCGGUGGAAGCGAGGCUCGGUUGGUGAUCGGUGGAAGUGACAGCAACAAUCUCUUUGGAGGUGACACCAUCUGCUUUAUCCUCCGGCAAGAUCUUAUUUACCGAGUUCGCCUCGGUUGCUGUAUCCUCCGGCAACCAUCUCUGCAAUAAAAGUUGCACACAAGUUAACCCUGGACGACUUAAAUAAAAGUUGUCUGGACGACUAGUUGACCCUGGACGACUUAAAUAUAAGUCGUCUGGACGACUAGUUGACCCUGGACGACUUAAAAUUAAGUCUUCCGUGGUCAACUAGUCGUCCAGACAACUUACGUUUAAGUCGUCCAGGGUCAACUAGUCGUCCAGACAACUUUUACAGUCGUCUGGACAACUAGUUAACCCUGGAUUUGAUACUAACCUCUUUGAUUUGAGGAGGCUGUUUCUUUUGAGGAGGAGGCUGUUUCUUUUGAGGAGGAGGAGGCUGCUGCUGUUUCUUUUGAGGAGGAGGAGGCUGCUGUUUGGUUUGAUGAGGAGGAGGCUGGUUACUAACCACGGUUUCAUUGGCAUGAGGGGUAGCCUGUUUGUUUCUACCCCCGGUUUCUUUGGCAAGAGGGGUAGGCUGUUUAUCUUGAGGGGUAGCCUGAUUGGUUAGAGGUGGAGGGGUAGCCUGAUUGGUGACACCAACCUUCUUCUCCACAGCUUCCAAUCUAUCGGACAACUUCCUAAACUCCCUCAUGCACUUAUUAAACCCUUUUUUCAUGCAGUCAGCUACGCCCUUGAACAUAAUUUCCAACUCCUCUCUGGUCACCCCUCUAGCCUCUUCUCUAGCCUCUUCACUAGCCACUUUAGGAGCCUCUUUACGAGCUUUCUUCCGAGGUCUUGGAUUGUCUUCCUCCUCCUCCUCCUCCUCCUCCAACACAACCAUCUCUUUGGCCUUCUUCGAUGGAGUCACAACCUUAGGUUUUGUAUUGACCUUAGUACCAGUGACUUCCCAGCAAUCCAUGGUCCACUUCCACGGUCUCCGCUCAUACAUGACUUUAAUGAUGUUCUCCGCGGGCAGGUCCUCAACCUCAGAGUCCCAUUUUGGCCACAUUUCACUAAUGUCCUUCUCAACAAAGUUGAUCACGCGGGUCUGCAGUAAAUAGAAGAAUCGAGUUAGAUAUUUGAAAAAAAAUACUAAAUAGACGACUUAAUUAUAAGUCGUCUACUAAGUCGUCCAGCUGGAAGACCUUCCAGACGACUUAUAAUAAGUCGUCUAAUAAGUCGUCCAGAUGGAAGACUUUCCAGACGACUUAAUUAAGUCGUCCGAUAAGUCGUCCAGCUGGGAAGACUUUCCAGACGACUUAUUAUAAGUCGUCCGAUAAGUCGUCCAGCUGGACGACCUUCCAGACGACUUAUAAUAAGUCGUCUGCGCAGUCUUUUGGAUUGAAGUAAAUACCUGACUCAAGAUAGCAGCUUUCAUUGAUCUGCGGCCUCUGCUGCCCUCGUAAGCCAGUAUCGGUGGAGACGGACUGUCUGCUCUGGGACCACCAAUACUAGCACCCAAUUCCGGCAUAGCUGUGUACGUCCAGACCUGAAGAACUUGUAUAAACCCAUCCACGGUGUAACAGCCAGCAAUUUCUUUGUUCCACAAAGAGUCCAUCAGCACCUUAAACGCGACUCUCCCCCAUGGAUAAUUCUCAAACCGUUCUAAAUCCAUCACUAGCCUUGCCAGAGUAGAUCGUGUAGCGGUUGAAAACUUUCUCCCUUCAAUGAAUCCAGUGAAGAUGGAGAGGUACGCGAGCCGCUUGCGAUCUUCCCUGGACCAAUCCCCGCAUCUCUUCAGUGCUGCUAUUAUCUGAUCAGUAGUUGGCCCAGCUUCCAGAUGAACUCCCAGCAUCCCCCAGAAAGAAACCAUCUCUGGGGUAACGUCACAUUUUGGUGUCUCAAGGUCCUCGAUGUACUCGCAGUUUAGACCAGUGAGGUUUUCAAACUCUAACAGUGAAAACCUCAAAGGUUCUGGACCAACGAGAGACCACAUCUCAUACUUCUUCUUAAUGUCCAGCUUGAAACUGAGCAUGUAGUGAACCAGCCUUGAAGCCCAACCAAAUCCCUGCUCCUUGAACUUGAUGAAAACUCCCAAACUCGACUCCUUGAGCUCUUCAAAUUCGUCAUCAGUAAGAGCUUUCCUAAGAGCAGUAUGCAACUUGCUGUUAUCCGUAUGAUACGAAAUGCUAUUGUGGGCUUCUGGCUCUUCCCCUGAUGUGUAUAACCUACGGGGGAGUUCUGGAAUAUCCAUCCUUUUUGUCUGCAAAAUAAUCAAAGACAACAAUAUAAGUCCAGACGACUUAGUAGACGACUUAUAAUUAAGUCGUCUGGAAAGUCUUCCAAAUGGACGACUUAUAUUUAAGUCAUCUACUAAGUCGUCCAGUUGGAAGACAAAGCCGGACGACUUAAAUUACUUACAAGUCUUCCAGUCGCAGAAGGAGUUGGAGUACUCGUCAUUGCGGUUAUAGAUCUGAAAAAAUAAACGUGAAACGGUGAGAAUGAGUAAAUUGAUAGAGACAACGUUUUAUGUUCAUCUUUUCCUCGAGAUUGAUGACUUAGCGGCGUUAGGGUUUACAGAGAAACGGCGCUAAGGUUUACAGAGAAGAAGCGGCGGCGCUAGGGUUUAGAAGAAGCGGCGGCGCUAGUGUUUAGAGGAAGCGGCGGUGAGAACGUUGGUGACCACGGUGGCGAGGGCGACGGUUUGUUCGGAAAUAGUGGAAGCGGCGGCGCUAGGGUUUAGAGGAAUCGGCGGCGCUAGGGUUUGAAGAAGCUGCGGCGACAACGGUGAGAAUGAAGUGAGAUAGAUAGCCGACGUUGAGAACGAUGGUUUGUUCGGAAAUCGUGGGAAUUCGAAAUCGCCUUUGAGAGAGAACUGUUAGGGUUUCUGAAUUUCGCGAAAAAUGAAACAAAAAAAAUAAAAAUCACCUUAUAUAUUGGGUAAAUAAUCCGGUUAGCUUUAAAAGUACAUUGGUAAACUUUAAGGUUUGGUCCGGUUUAGACGACUUAUUCUGGCUGAUAAUGUACAACAGACGACUUAAUAUUUAGUCGUCUGUUUUCAGACGACAAAAUAUUAAGUCGUCCUAGACCCUAAAAUGAACCCCUAAACUAAAAUGACUAGAUUAACUAACUAACCACGUUAUAAAAUCAAAUUAUACUUAAAUAGUGUUUACUAUACACAGAAAUGAACACGCAUAAGUAAUUUUAAAAAUUUUCAAAAACGGUUUUAAUGCUUUCCAAAAUCUAACCCUAAGAACACAUACAAUACUACAACAUAUGUUGAUGAAACAUAAACUUAAGAAUAUCAUGACUCACUACUUUCACUCAUCUAUGCUGAAAACAAUUGAAAUUUGUUAUAUCUUAAUUUAUACCUCCUAAGACAUAUGUUAAUUACAUAAUUCCCAUUUUUCACUUAUCAAAAUAUUUUUUACAAAAUUUUUAAAUUAUGUUUAAGACUAACUGUCCAGACGACUUUCAGUUAAGUCGUCUGGACGACUUAUUUUCAAGUCGUCUAAACAGACGACUUGCGAGGGGUAGAAACGUUAAAAAAAUUCCGUUUUUUUGUUUGGUCACAAGGGGAUAGUUGUAAUUUCAAUAGCCUUUUAGGUUACUUUUGCCUUUGACCCAAGUUGGGGUAUUGUUUUGGGUUUGACUCCAAGUUUUGAGUCACACUUGGCAAUUCUCCCAGAGAACAAUUGUCUAAACAACCAACAUAGAUCUAUCUUUUUAUCGUCCACUAUAAGCAAUCAUAAUUCUAUUUAUUCUAUUUUUACAUAUAUAGUAAUAGUAAUUUCAAUGACUUUACUCGCAAUCAUUUCCAAAUUGGGAAAUUUACUCAAGACAGUAAAAUAUGACAAGAAAUAAAUAAACUUUCUAUUAUUUAAAAAGUAUUUUGUAUUUUGAUAUUUUAAAUAAAUAAAGAGAAUUAUGAAGCGACAUAACACAUGGAAAGAGAAGCACAAUAAUUCAGAGAAUUUAUAAAAGCAACAAAACCCAACACUUCUUUACAACUUUCCACACCAUCAUAAUAGAGAUACAACAACUUCUCUUGAUUAAUGCAAGAAUCAUAUAGUAUUAUCAAUUGUUAUAUUUCUAAAACUAAAUGAUUGUCCUUACAAAAGCAUUUUGUAAUUGGAAAAGAUAUUGAUGGAGGCACAAUCUGUACACAUGGGGACUCAUGGAAAAGGAUAAGCUCUUUCUGGGUCCCAAAGUCCUCAUCUCAUUUCAAGAGAUAGAGAAGGAAUUUUCCAUAACCAACAAUUAAUUAUCUCUAAAAUAUAUAAUUCCUGUAGUCCUCCACUAACUAAGUAUCAUUAAAGCUAUAUAUAAACAACAAUUUCAAUCAUUCAAGGGAGAAAAACAACAUAAGAGAAACCAAAGCAGAAGAAAAAAGAGUAAAGAUGUCUUCAGAUUACUCACCUUCUUCAUCUCACCAAGAAUAUUCUAUCAACAGCUACCUCUCAAGAAAAUUGCUUCAGCAACUUCCUUUCCAUCACAACAUACAGCAACAACAACAAGCUCGAGGACCAGACAAGAACAACUUGAGCGGCAACAUUCUCCUGCUUCUCUCUAUCCUUGUCUGCGGUAUCAUCUGCUCACUAGGGUUGCAUUACAUAAUCCGUUGCGCGUUUAGACGUUCCACGAGUUUCAUGAUCUCUGAUCCCAUCUCAAUCCCGUCCACGCCACGAGGCUCAGCAGCAGCAAACAAAGGCAUCAAGAAGAAAGUUCUCAAGAUGUUCCCGGUAGUGACUUACUCACCUGAGAUGAACUUGUCAGGGGUCGGCGAAGAGUGUGUCAUUUGCUUGUCUGAUUUUGAAGCUGGAGAACAGAUACGGCUGCUUCCUAAGUGCAACCAUGGGUUCCACGUUCGUUGUAUCGACAAGUGGCUUACACAACAUAUGACUUGUCCGAAAUGCAGACACUGUCUGGUUGAGACAUGUCAAAAGAUCUUAGGAGACUGUGACGAAGCUGAUGAAGUUGCAGAAACAACAACGGAGAGUAUAGAUGUUAUAAUUGAUCCUAUAGAACCUGAAGAAAGAGUCAACACUUUCAGAGAAAGCAGCUAGAGAGUAUGUGCCAAUAAACAACUAGAUUUUCAAGAUUUUAGUUCUUCAACAAGAUUGGAACACAGUUUAUGUCCCUAGCCAGUAGGAUUCCAAAAUCAAACACAAUGGAGCUUUUGUUUGUUUUUCUUUUUGCCUCAAUGCUCAAAAUGUACAGAGAAUAUAUCUUAAGCUUUCCAUGGCAUCAUAACUUCAUCAGACUUUUCUGUGUUAUGGGUGGUAUAUGACUAUUUACAAAUAGCAAUACUCACAUCCAAGGCUAAUAAUAGAAACCGUCAUCUCGGAGGAAAGUUUGAUAAACACUUUCCAUAGAAUUCCUCUGCAUUUUCAUAUCACAUACACAGAAGACGACUAAGUAACACCACUACUUUUGAAGGUCUGAAAAGAAAUGGUUUCAAUGAAGCUCAGAGAGACCAAGGUAUUGCAUGAAGAAGGAAAAUCAAAGACUACAAUGAUGCAACAUAGAUCUGCUCUAAUCAGUUACAAACCUUUCCACAGUAACAUCAUCAUCUAUAUGUCCAAAACCGACCCAUUGUAAGCAUUGUGGGUAAGAAGUAUAUUAAGGAUCUAAUGAUAAAGAAAUCAGCAGCUCUAUGUGUCUGCAAAGCCAUAAUAAGGUAAAACCCAAGCCAUAAUAAGGUAAAACAAAUACACCCAAGUGAGUGGGUAAAAUAAUCAAACAUAAAAGCUACCUUGAGGAAUACUUGUAAUAUAUCAAGCAAGGCACACAUGGUAUGAGACCAUAACUGAAAGCUCCAAUUAAACAAUGUGCUUGCUAGCAGUGUUACAAACUUUAUAAGAUGAACCUAACUUAAGGAUUAACGAGAACCAUUUACAAGACACAAAGGAGAUCCAAUGGUAGCUGUGUAAAAAGAAAGUUAUAAAUAGUAACAUAGAGCUUUAAGCAAAGCCUCCUAGCUGGACCAAAAACUUCAAUCAUAAGCUUUUCAACUUCUUGGAGUAUAAUUGAUACUAGAGGUUCAAUACAGAUAAUCCAGAAACAUGUAAAUAAAAAAUGGAAAAACUCUGUCGACAUCCUGAUGCUCUUUCUUUAAUCUAUUUCACAUCUUGAUGCUCUUUCUUUACUCCACUUUAAUAAUCACGAAGUACAAAGACUAUCAAAUCAAGAAUAUCAACCUACGCAUGCACGAAUAUCACAUGGUACCCCAAGUAACAUAAAGCAAUAAAGGCAAAGUUAAUCACUUUCAUGAAGGGAUAACAAAAUACCACUAUCUGUUCGUACCAGCUACAUGGAACCUAGUAGUGGCAUAAACAAAAGAAGAAGACACAUCAUUUUCAGAUAGGCUUGUAUAGUCUUUAUGUAAUUUUCAGAGUGGGACUGGUGCCAAAGGAUAUAUCUCCCCUGCCUUGCAUCAAUUCGGAAUACAUAAAAAUUCACCCCUAAUCAAUGCAUUGCAUUAUUUGGAUCUAUAUAUAAUUAGUAUAGAUGGAUGUCAUUGCAUAAUUUAGUUGGCAUCAAACAUAAGAUAUACUAAAGUGCUGUUCGUUUCAUUGACGCAGGUUCCUGCGGCUGCGGCUGCGGCUGAGUCUGCGGCUGCGGCUGCGUCUAUUCCUUUGGUUGUUGUUCGUUUUGCAGCCGCAGAUUCAGCCGCAGCCGCAGCCUCAGACGCAACUUGUUGUUCGUUUCUAAGACGCAGGACAUUGCCGCAGCCGCAGCCGCAGACGCAGAAAAUAGAUUUAGUUAUGUUCGUUUGGUUGCCGCAGACGCAAUUUUCAUUUAUUUCAUAUUUUAAUUUUAUGAAUUUUGUGAAUUUAUACAAUUGUAUUUUAAAUAAAUAAAAUGUAGAUUUAAAUUUGUAAAAUUAUAUUUUAAAUAAAUAAAAUGUAGAUUUAAAUUUGUAAUAUUUACAUUCAUCAAAAUAUUAUAAUUAAUUAGUAAUAAAUGAGAGAGCUCGAGCCGGAGAAGAGAGAGCUCGAGCCGGAGAAGAGAGAGCUCGAGCUGAGGUCUGCGUUAGAGAGAGAGAGCACUGGGUUUGCGUUGGAGAUCGAGAGAGAGAGCUCGGAGAUGUGUAGAUCGAGAGAGAGAGAGCUCGGAGAUGUCAGAGAUCGAGAGAGAGAGCUCGGAGAUGUAGGAGCUCGAAGAUGCGUCUAUCGAAGAAAGAUAGAGCGGCUGCGUCAAUGGAGUUAUGUUCUUUUUUGCAAAUAAUUAAUUAGGUCAAGGGUAAAAUCGUAAAUACAGUAAAUAAACGCAGUUUUUUUGACUCAGCCGCGGAUAAUUUCGGCGUCCAGAUUUUGCAGACGCCAGACGCAGCGUUUAGACGCCGCGUCUAGACGCAGUAACCGCGUCAACGAAACGAACAAGAUUUGAAAAAAUAAUUGACGCAGCCGCAGCCGCAGGAACCUGCGUCAAUGAAACGAACAGCACUUAAGACGGAAUAGAGAGAGAGAUCAGUGACAUGAGCCAAGACCCAAGAGGUUUAUUAUCUGAGUGCUGUCUCAAAGAUUAGGGAAAGUUCACGGCUGCUCUAGCUAAAGAACAUGUGUCCCUGUGAGCAACUCUUUUGGGAUUUGAUUUUCCAAAUUUACUGCCACAUGGUUUCCAGAGACAAAUUAGAGACUGAACCUAGACAAAUCAGUAAAUGGUAUGAAAGGCCCACUCAUCUUCAAUAAGAAGUCACACUAAGAUUAUAAAAACUCAGUGGAGAAUCCAUAUAAGAUGCAGACUAAUACAUAAAAAUAAAACGAAACACUUAAAAGAACUUUGUUAAUUUCCCCAGCAUAUUCCAAUAACCACAAUUCAGAAAAAAAAAUUCAAUUAAAAUCAGUUUGCAAUUAUUUAUCAGAAAGUAUAUAUAAAACCUGUACGUUUUCACUAUAUAUAUUAUAUAGAAUCUAGGACAAACCUGGAAGAUCUAUCUAUUACUUCAACCACCUACCACGUCAACGGCCCCAUUUGCAGACGCUCAUGAAGCAUCUCACUCCUAUACACACCAUAUGGGCUUUGAUGCAAAUGUUGUCAUGGUCCUAUUCUAAGCUGUCUGCUGAAGUAGUUCAGCUUGUUAUCAUUCGAAGCUAGUGAUGAGCUUGCAGUUCGCUUGGCCAAUAGUCAACCACCAUAGAGCCUAAAUUAUAAUGUGAUCUGAGCAUGAAAACCACCAUAGAGUCAAAAUCAGACGAUAAAAAAUCAAGUGGUUUUUAAUAUUGAACUAAUCAUAGAAAAGUAUAACGGUAGAUAAAUUAACAACCAUUGUUAGUGUUGACAAUCAAGAUCUCUUCUUCCAAAUCUUUUUCUGGUUUAUAAUUAGUACUGCCCUUAAAGAGACAAACCUUGGAAUGACAGCUAAACAUUGAAAGAACUAAAACUACUGCUUCUGACCUUGCUCCAAAGGCCCGUGGUUUUCAAAACCCAACUAAACAGAGACAUGGACAUAUAGGAUCGGAAAAAUAAUAUCGCAAACAUAUAAGCCAACAUCCAUCCCUCCCUUCUUGUGAAGAUCGAGUUGAAACUCUCGAAGAUCAUAUCUUGGGGCCAACAGAUUUCAGUAGUCUUGGACUCUUGUGCGACUGGACCAGUAGUUGCCAGGUCAUUUUGAGCCUAUUAAUAAAGCCCAAUAAAACAGUAUUAGUCAUCAUUUAUUGCAGACAAAAAAAUACACUCUCCGGUGUGGUGUUUAGAGAAAAAAAAUUUGUUUCAAAAUAACUAUGUUCUCAUUAUUCUAGAUAAAAUUUAAUAUCAUUUAAACUUUGUGACCAAUUACAAAAUAUUAAUUUUUCUUUUAUUGAUUGAAUUAAAUUCAUUUAAUGAUAUUUUUAUGUAAUCAAAAUAAAUUGUAUACAAGUUUGUAUUUUCUUAAUCCAGGUGCAAAAACUUUGAAAAUCGCUUAAAAUGACACAGAGGAGUACUAAUUUGGUUUUAUGGAUUAGUCUGAAUUGAUUUCCCUUAAUCAUAAGUUCAUAACCACCGUCACCUGCCGGUGUAGUGUGUACAUGAUAAUCAAGUGGUUCGUCUCGCCAAAAACAAAUAAUGGUUAGGUUCUUGAUCCUAUUAUUGUCAAGUUUUGAUCCCUGAAAUAAUUCACUAAUUUCUCUUCAAAUAAUAAUUCACCAACUUUAAUAAUUGGACGGUGUCAUUCAUUUUGUAAUAGUACAUCAGACCUCAAAACAGAGGAAAAAUCAGUUUAUUAUUUAAUUGUGGCAUCAACUCUUGUUUGUUUGUUUGUUUGUUUACACCUUAAUUUCUUGUUCAAUUAUUUAUUUUUAUGUUUUAAUGUUAUGUUUUGUUGAUAAACUAAUGAUUGCAUAAAUUAGCAAAACAAAUUUUAUAUUACAUUAUUGGAUGGAUGGAUGCUUCAUGCUCGUAUCCUUUUCUUUCAAAAACGUUAUUUUAGCACACUUGCAAAUUCAUGCUACUGUCUAACAAUAUGAAUAUAAAGUUUAAUAUCAACGGAAACAAUAUAUUUGAUAGACUAAAACUGGAACUUCAUGGUUGAAAAAACUUUAUACCAAAAAACUAUAUUAUUUUUGAUAGGUUUAAAUCAUAUGAAUUUAGAGGUAACAAAUCCAUAUUUUCGAAAAAGCAAAAAAGCUUUAAAGCUUUAUGGGUGGAUUGUGGUGUGCCACUACUAGUAAAGUUGAGAGGGAGAAAAAGCUAGAUCUCUAGAAUAAAUUAAUUACAUUCUAAAUCCAGGAAAAAUAACCUUAAUUGACUUUUCUCUAACAAAAAGACAUGAACGUGGCCUGCCAUAUAUAUGGAACUUUAUAAUAUAAAACUUGAACAUGGCCUGCCUCAUAUAAUAAAUAGUGAGAAUCAAAUGUAAUCAUACUAGUAGCGAUGAAAAUCAGAAGUAGUUUCGUAAUGAUGGACCCAACGUUUUCGUAGGUGCCAGCUUAACCUUCCCACAUUCUUUUCCCAAUUCGAUUGUACUCGGCACGUGCGAUUCAAGUUGAUCAAAAAGUUGACUUUUAAUUUUCAUCUCUUAACAAAAAAUAAGAGUAUGGCAUCAUAGUUGUUCUUAUUUUUUGGGGUUGAACAUGAUCAGGUUUGUAAUGUCCUUGCUAAUAUUUUAACUUGCUAUUUCCCAAGAUGAUUUGAUAUUUAUAACUAUCAAUCUAUCAUAUACUCGGCUUGUAACCUAGCUAACUAGGUGGGGUUCAAUACAUGUACUCGGUUUUCUCCUUUCGUAGCCUAACUAGGUGGUCACCAUUCACCACUUUUAUUAAAUCAAAUCCAUAAUUUUGAAGUGCAUGUACUUAAAUCUAUUCCAGGAUAUGAAAGCUAAGAACGACUGAAAGCCCAUGCACAUUAUUUAUAUCAUGUAAGAGAGUUUUGAGUUAGAAGUACAUGGCACAAGAAAAUGGCUAGACUCAAUGUAAUUUGGUGUCUCAACUCAACAUAUACCUAUAUUAUUAUUAUAUAAGUUAUAUACCAAAGAUCAAGUUAUACAAAAUAGCAAUAUUAAUCCACAACUACUUUGACGACUUAGUAGCCACUAUUUAAUACAUUAAUCACGAAUACGAUGGAAUAUAAAUAAUAAUCGACAUAACACAUCAUGAAAAUCACAUUCUUUCACGGUCUGAUCUAUUACUUAUUCCUACUUUAAAUGAUUCAACACGAUUCUAAUCCUAAUAGAAAAUGAAAUUAAUUAAGUUGAAUUUUGUGAAAAUCUAAAUUGAACAAGCCAACCACGACCAUCGUUGCCUGUAUUGACUCGGUUAAGUUAACACUAGCUAAAAGUAUUAAAAAAAUGGAGCUGUCAUUUUACGCUGAGCCGAUCACAGACAAAGCCAUCUCAGCAAAAACAAAUUAGGCUUUAAUUAAUCCAACGGCUGAUAUCAUUAAUUAAUUUUAAAAGGGAGAAUUAAACAGUAAAGGCUGUCUGACAGCCAGGUCACGUUAUCUUUUCCUGUGGUCGAUAUGAUUCGUCUAUUUUUUAAUUUGAAAGGCGGAAAAGAAAGAUAAAGCCGCCUAUAUAAAUUCAACUCAUUUCUCCUUCUUUGAAUCGUCUCGUCGUCCUCACAGUUUCAUCGGCCGUUGACUAUCUCCGGCGGGAAGAGAGAGAGAGAGAGAGAGAGAGAAUCGUAUCGGUUUCUUGUUUCUUAUUUCUUCUUCGGAUCUUUCUCGUCCAAGGUAAAGAAAACUUUCUAUGUUGGAUCUAUACGUUGUUAUGAGCCUCGUAGAGAUCUGGAAUUGAUUAGAUUUGGAUCUACGAGCUACUAAUUCGGAGAAUCAAGUUCAGUUGACCGAUCAUCUUUAGCUCGAUUAGUGAUCUUGGAUCUCAAUAGUGAUAGAGAGAUCCGUAUUCAGAAUUUCAGAUUCACUGUUUUGUGCAGAUGAUUGUUAGAAUAGAGAUCUGAACUGUUAAGGGUUAGAUGAAGCUUGAGCAGUAGAAGCUAAAAAUGAACCGUCACGUUAUGUGUUAUUGAAGUUGCAAGAUUACCUUAUCGAUUUGGGGAUUUUGUACUCUUCAUAUACGUUCAAUAUAGAAAGCUAUUCUCAGAGAUAUAUAUUUCUAUGUAUUUUAAUUGAUUUGUAAAUCUUUAACUAAAAUUUACUUAGGUAUAAAUCUGAUAUUUUAGUUAAUAUUUAUGAUGUUUUAACUCGAAUUUUUUUUAUUUUUGUAUUUUUAGCAAAUACUUUUUUUCCAAAUCUACUUAAAAUCCAUUGUGAAAUCAAAUUCAUUAAUAAAUCCACCUGAUUUAAAUUAGGAUUUAUAAAUUAUGAUAUCAAUAACUCUGAAUUUCGUUUGGAUUUACAAAUAUAUUACUACACAAAUCAAUAGCCCCUAAAGUGAUUUGAUUUCGAUUUGAUCUUUUUUUUUUUUUUUUUUUUUGUUGUUUAUUUNNNNNNNNNNNNNNNNUUUUUUUUUUUUUUUUUUUUUGUCGAUGGUUAAUUAUACUAUUACAAGAAAUAUUACAAAACGAUUUGAUCUAAUUUUAUUUAACAGUAUCCAACUUGUUACGUUCUUUGCAGCUUAUUAAAAAUGGCUGAAGCUGAUGAUAUUCAACCCAUCGUCUGUGACAAUGGUACCGGAAUGGUCAAGGUUAGUUACUUGUCUCUUUACUCAUUAUCAGAUCUGUGGAAUGUUCUCUUUUGAUGGCUUUAUAAUUUCUGUGUACAGGCUGGUUUUGCCGGUGAUGAUGCUCCCAGGGCUGUUUUCCCUAGUGUUGUUGGUAGGCCAAGGCAUCAUGGUGUCAUGGUUGGGAUGAACCAGAAGGACGCCUACGUUGGUGACGAAGCCCAGUCCAAGAGAGGUAUUCUCACCUUGAAGUACCCUAUCGAGCAUGGUGUUGUGAGCAACUGGGACGACAUGGAGAAGAUCUGGCAUCACACUUUCUACAACGAGCUCCGUAUUGCUCCUGAAGAGCACCCGGUUCUUCUUACCGAGGCUCCUCUUAACCCAAAGGCCAACAGAGAGAAGAUGACCCAGAUCAUGUUCGAGACCUUCAACUCUCCAGCUAUGUAUGUCGCUAUCCAAGCUGUUCUCUCCCUCUACGCCAGUGGUCGUACUACUGGUAUUGUGCUGGAUUCUGGUGAUGGUGUGUCUCACACUGUCCCAAUCUACGAGGGUUUCUCUCUUCCACACGCCAUCCUCCGUCUCGACCUCGCUGGUCGUGACCUCACUGAUUACCUCAUGAAGAUCCUCACCGAGAGAGGUUACAUGUUCACCACGACAGCAGAGCGGGAAAUUGUAAGAGACAUCAAGGAGAAGCUCUCCUUUGUCGCUGUCGACUACGAGCAGGAGAUGGAGACUUCCAAAACCAGCUCCUCCAUCGAGAAGAACUACGAGUUACCCGACGGGCAAGUGAUCACAAUCGGUGCCGAGAGAUUCAGGUGCCCAGAGGUUCUGUUCCAGCCGUCGUUUGUGGGAAUGGAAGCUGCUGGAAUCCACGAGACGACUUACAACUCGAUCAUGAAGUGUGACGUGGAUAUCAGGAAGGACUUGUACGGUAACAUUGUGCUCAGUGGUGGAACCACUAUGUUCUCGGGUAUUGCGGACCGUAUGAGCAAAGAGAUCACAGCACUUGCACCAAGCAGCAUGAAGAUUAAGGUCGUUGCGCCUCCGGAGAGGAAGUACAGUGUCUGGAUCGGUGGUUCCAUUCUUGCUUCCCUCAGCACAUUCCAGCAGGUACAUGAUUAUUCAAUUUAUCCAUCUGCAGAUUUAACUAAAGGUGCUGAUUAUUUUAUAUGAUUGUUCUUGAAUAGAUGUGGAUCUCAAAGGCUGAGUAUGAUGAGGCAGGUCCAGGGAUUGUUCACAGGAAAUGUUUCUAAGCUCUUAAGGGAAAGGCUACAAGCUGGGUAUUAUGAAUGGGAUCAAAGUUUCUUUUUUUUUGUUUAUAUUUGCUUCUCCAUUUGUUUGUUUCAUUUGCUUCUUUUUUGUUAUCGUUUCUAUACACACGUGUGUGACAAAACUCUCUGGGUUUUACUUUACGUCUGCGUUUCAAGAAACUGCUUUCGUUUUGCGUUUAAGUCCCAUUGUUUUGUAGCUCGAGUGCCUCUAUUUUUCUGUAAUUUCUUUUUCAAAAACUGGAAAGAAGAAGCUUGAUAUACUCUUUGCAUUUGUUAAUAUACGUAUUGAAUUGAGAUAUGAUUUUAUUGAUUGUUGCCUUUAAAAGAUCAAAAGGUGGACACUUUAAGAUUGAUUCAAUCUGGGGUUGUUCACAUCAAAUGUCUCACUUGUGGAAUCUGAAGUUAGAAAAGAUGAGCAGAUACAUUUUAGCAUUAAUAAUCAUCAGUUAAAUCACAAUCAAAAGUUUUAAUUUUUUCUCCACAAAACAGAAACAUUCAGACAUAAAACACAAAUGUAGCCAACGGUCAGAAUCUGACAUAAAACAAGAGUUGUAAAACAAUGUCACAGGAAACAGAACACAGCGAAGUUGAUUUGUUUUGAAACUAACAGCUAAAUCAAAGCAAUUGUUUUGUUGUUUUUGUUAGCUCCUCCACUUCCUCCUCCUGUAUGAAUCUCCUCACUGCUCGAGGAAGACGGGUCAAGCCCGUACUCACUCGUGUUCCCAUACUCACUGGUUGCACCGUACUCAUGGCUAUCCAUCGCCACUUUCCUGAACUUCCUCAUAUCCGCACUGUAAGUGCUCGAGUCAUAGUCCGAGCUCGAUCCCCUCCCUAAGCUCUGUCCAGGUUUCACUUCGUUUAGAUCCUCCAGCGAUGCAUCUCCCUCCAGAGCCCGCACAAUCUGUUUAGAAUCAUUGAGCAACUCAGUAAAGGAUAGGAGUCCCAUUAGUAGUAUGAUUCAUGUUUUCGUAAAGACUUACUUGGCUCAUCUUAGGCCUGCGUCUAGCUGAGUGUCUGAUGGCUGCAGCGGCACAAGCCACCAUUCUUGCCAUCUCAUAAGGCUCGUAUUGGCCCUCGAGCCGUGGAUCAACUAGUUCACUGUAGUCGCCAUCUUGAGCUGCGUUUAAGCAUAAGGGUCUUGCCUGUGUAAGAAAGUAACAUAGGUUUUUAAUAAAUCAUUUACUUAUGCCACAAAAAAUUUAUGAUGAUUAUAUAUAUGGUACUGACCCAAUCAACCAAACUGUCUUCCAUUUCACCAGUAAGAUCAACAGGUCUGCGUCCGGUUAUGAGCUCAAGAAGCAUCACUCCAAAGGAGAAAACAUCUGAUCUGUCUGUUAGUUUCCCGCUUGACGCAUACUCUGGAGCCAAGUACCUGUCAUUUGAUUCAGAAUACGAGAUUAAUUCUUGAUUAGAAAUCAAGAACAGCUUUCAUCAGUUAGUUUCACGUUUCUUUAUUACCCAAAAGUUCCCAUGAUACGAGUGGACACAUGUGUAACGUUGUCUUGAGAUAGCUUCGCUAACCCGAAGUCUGCAACCUGAAAGCAUAAGCCAGUCCAGUUAUCAAGACACAUCAAAAGAAUCUGAAAGCAUUGUGAAAGCAAACCUACCUUGGCUUCAAAGGAUUCAUCAAGAAGAAUGUUUGAAGCUUUGAUGUCUCUAUGAAUGAUUUUUGGAUGACCUGAUUACAUCAAAUUCAAGAAAAUGAUCACAUCUCUAGUUAAACCUCAAUAGAAUCAAAUAAUUAAGAUUUUUGUUUUUGACUCACAAUCUUCAUGUAAGUAAGCAAGUCCUUUAGCUGAUCCCAAAGCAAUCCUGAGCCUUGUAGGCCAAUCAAGAACAUUACCACUUUUACCAUGGAGAUGAAACUCAAGUGUGUCAUUAGGCAAGAACUCAUAAACCAACAACAUCUUCUGUCCUUCCGCAAUACAAUAACCAACAAGAGACACAAGAAACCGAUGGUGAACUCGACUAAUGAUGUCCACCUCUGCCUGAAACUCUCUCUCUCCUUGUCCGCUUCCUGCUUUAAGACUCUUCACAGCUAUCUCUUUCCCAUUGGGAAGUAUUCCCUUGUGAACGUACCCGAACCCGCCUUGCCCUAACAGUCUUGCUUGAGAGAAGUUUUGAGUUGCUGCAGCUAGCUCCUCGUAGGUGAAUGUGCUCUGGUUGAAACCUAGAGCCACUGAAGGGUGAGGCGGUGGUAGAGCCGGACCAUAUGGACCUGAGUAUAUUUCGCUGCUGUUUCCGUUGUUUAUGCCGCCUGAAACUGGCUGUGCUGGUGGUGGCGGCGGUGAAUUCAUCCAGUUAUUGUUACUGUUUGAUCCGGGGUGUUGAUGAGACAAGUUCAUAACGUGAUCGCUUUGGUUAUUGUAAUGUUGUUGUUGGUAUUGAUCACCUAUCAACAAAACAAAGAGACUUUGUUUACCCUAUUUCUUGGAUAACAAGUAAUGGAGUUUUCACAAAAUGUAGAUAUAUUCAGAAACAUAUACUUGAUCAAAAGAUUAUGAAACUGACUUUUGAAACGUGGUAUGAAGGUCAGAAGGUAAGAAGAUUUCAUUAAGUUAGGUUAUCAUUUCAGGACUCUUGGAACACAAGAAAUGGUUCUAAAACAUAUUAUGGUUUAGGUUUAGGUUCGUGACUUAACUUUGCCUGUGGCGAACCCAUUGCUUGCGCAGUACGGCAUUUGUUUUAACCUUAUUUCUUGGCUAACAAGAAACAUCUAAUGGUGUUUUGAACAAACAUACAAAAUAUUCAUAAAUCAAGCCUCGGCUUGGUCAAAAGAUUAUGAAACUCCUAAACUUUGAAAUGUGGUUUGAAGGUAAGAAGAUUUCACUGAGUUAGGUUAUUAAAUUAGUUAUCUUGGCAUACAAGAAAUGGUUCUAAAACAGAAACUAGGUUAGGUUUAGGGUUAGGGAUAAGGUUUGUGACUUGGUGUUUGGCCAUUUAUGUUUUUACCUUUGCCGGUGGCGUACCCAUUGCUUGCGUAGUACGGCAUUUGAUUCUUUUUUUUCUUCUUACGACAGCAACAGACGCAGAACAAGAUCAUAACAAGAAGCAACAAUCCAGCACCAGCCGCAAUUCCUAUGAUAGCACCCGUGUUCGGUGCAUCGCCACUACCGCUUGAUCUAGGCGGAGCCAGGGAUCUCGGUGGCGACGGAGAGUUACGGUCGGAGUUUCUUGAAGGAGGAGCAGGCGAAUGAUUGUUGCUUCCUCCGCCGUUGUUUCCGUUGUUAUUAUUCCCAUUGUUGUUAUUACCAUUGUUGCCAUUAUUGCUGUUAUUACCAUUGUUUCCAUUAUUGUUGUUAUUACCAUUGUUGUUGUUGUUGCCAUCAUUGUUUCCACCAUUGUUUCCAUCAUUGUUUCCACCAUUGUUGCCAUCAUUGUUACUAUUACCAUUGCUGUUGUUGUUGUCAUUGUUUUCACCGUUGUUGUUGUUGUUGUUAUUGUUUUCUUGUUGUGGCGAUGGUGGAGGUUGUGAGUCUGAAGAAGGAGGUGGAGGAGAGGAUGAGGAAUUAUCUGGAGGAGGAGGAGCUGGUGGUGAAGAUGAAGGAGAGGAGGAGGAGGAGGAGUCAGGAGACGGAGGAGAUUGCUGUUGAGUGUUGUCGGGGGAGGAAGGAGAUGGAGGUGUAGGAGACGGCGGUGAAUUCUCCGGGGACUGCCCCUCCGCCAUAAUCUCUUUUGGGUGUUUUUUCUUCUUCUUCUUUUAUUUAUUUUCCUGAAGCUCUCUCCUUAAGAUUUUCUUAAGAGAGAGAGGUUCAAAACCUCUUUCUGUAUUCCAAGUUCUAUUUUUAAAGAGUCAUGUCAUUUUUUGUUCUGAAUUGCUGAUUUCUUCUUUUGUAGGGUCUAUAUUUGGUUACUAAUACAGCCAUGCAAAUUAUGCAACAUUUAACUAAAUUGUUUAAAAAGAGAGAAAUUACAGUGAAGAACUAUAUGUGAUUAUUAAAUAUAAGAUGAUUGUUUUACAAAGAAUGAACACAUAGAUAAAUCAGUGAAAAUAACAUUAAUAGCUGGUAAACGCAAGGAAUAUUUUUUACAAAAAGUGAAAAGAAGCUUAUAGAAGAGAUGAAUGAUAUGUUUAAUGGAAAUGCUCUCUCAUCAAAAAGUCCUCUGCCUGCUUUCAUCAAUCCUCCAUUGUUGAAGCUUCGUUCUCCGAUUCCGUUUGCUCUCUCAGGACCGGAAUCGGGUUUAGUUGUUUUGAAUCAUCUCUUUUUGGGUUUCAAUCGGUUUAGAUCUUCAUAUUAUGUUCUCAUUUUUCUCUACGGUCGGAUUUCCAGAUUUUAGAUCUGAUCCUAACAGGAGGAAUGAGAGUUUCUAUAUGUUGAUCUUUGUGUGUGUUAUCGAUCGAUCUAGUCAAAAUGGGUUGGUCUCGUCUUGAACCUGAUUUUGUUUUGAAUGAUUUGCAUGUUGGCUUUAAACUCUCUUUGGCUCAUUUUGGGUCUUGAUCUUCAGCCUUCUUGAUAUCUUGAGCAAGGUUUGAACCAGUUUAUGAGUUGUCUCGCUCCUUGUCAUUUACUAAAAGAUUUGAUCGAGUUCUUCUAUCCCGUCAAGCUUCAAUAUGGCGUCUCUCGGGUCUAUCGCCACCGCCAUCGUACUUAUGACCUUGAGUUGUUCUGUCUCCUGGAUCUUGAAGCUUUGGUCUCUAAAUCGCAUAGGCUAUUCUCUAUAGGAGGAGUCGCAAGUCAGAGAUUUUAGCUAUGGAUAGCAUCCUCGCGUUGUCUGGUUCAAAAGUGCUCAGUUGAAGUCUUCAUGCUUUAUUAUUCUCUGGUUUGUAAAAGUUCUUUUGUUUUGUUCCUCACUUCUUCUAGUUUAGAUCGGUUUAGUAAUAAGGUUUGAUUAAUGUUCUUGGUUUUAGUCUUCCAGUGUUUAGGACUAAAUCUCUCCAAUCUUGGAGCUUUCGUCUCCAGAGGUUUGUAAGACAUGCCGGCUUAUGUAUUCCAAAAUGAAUUCUCCCCCUUGUAAUCUUCUUUGUUAGUAUAAUUAGUGUUUAAGAAAAAAAGAAGAGAUGAAUUGAUUGUUUUACAAAGAAGGAACACAGAUAAAUCAGUGAAUAACACGUGAAAAUAACAAUAACUAGCCUUUGGGACGCGCGGAUAUUUGUUCUUCAUAAUGAUAUAUUUUUAACUUUUGGCAAUGCUAUAAACUUAAUAGUUUAGAUGUUCUUAUUACAAACUUAUACGUUAUUCAGUUUUGACAGUAGUGUGUCUUGUUCAAUGCGUUUAGUUUCCAUUUUUAAACUAUGGCAUUGUGUUUUUUUAUUGUGCUUUUAUUCAUUUUAUUUGGUAAAGUAAACAUUAAAGUCUAAAAUAUUAGAGUUUUAAGUAUAUUUGUGGGUUUUAUUCAGUUUAUUCAUUUCAUUUACUUUUUGAAAAAUAUACAAAGUAUAUGUAUAAUGUUUAGAAAAGGUAUUUAUAGAAUUUACAAAGUGUAUGUAUAAGGUUUAUAAAACACAUAUAAUAUACAAACUGUAUGUAUAAGGUUUAGAAAAGGUAUCCAAGUUAUUUCCAUUUCCUAUUAUCGAUUCCAUUAUUAAUUAUUGUAUAUUAUAGCAUGUUUCUAAAUAUUGUUUCUAUUAGUAUUGGAAUAUUCUAAUUUCUUUUUAUUUAUAUAUUAGAUUUUCUUGUGAUAAGUAAAAGAUUGUAAUCUUUUACGUUUAAGGUAUAGCUAAAUUUUAGGAAUCCGAUAGUUAUACACUAACCAUGUUAAAAAUAUUAGGAACAAUCUUAGAAAGUAAAGAAUAUUGUUAGUAUUCUAAUCGUAAAAAAAAAUACCAAGAAAAGGUUUUCUUUUCGAUCAAUAAUAUUCAGGAAAAAAAUAUCCAAAAAAAUUCAAGAAAAAAAAACAAUAAACAAACAAUCUUAACUCGUUACCAUCGUAAAAAGACUUCAAAGCAAUAUCAGCAUUCAUAAACAGAAGCAGGAGCACCAUUCAUUAGAAAACUAAUGGUUAAUACAUAUAAAUAAAGAGCUACUAUCAAAGCUAAGAGCAGGUCCAUUGGGAAUGCCUAACAACAGGCUCAUAAGAAAAGGUGAUUAAAAAUAAAUGAAAAAGGCCAAAAAACUUUAGAACCGCUGUCUUAUUUGGGCUUUUUAGAGCAGCUAGGAAGCCCUUACCUGGCGGCUUGUGAUUCGACCGCAAAUCAAAUGCUCUCUCUCUCAUUCGUGGCGACAAAGCCGAAUGGCUUUUGUUUUGCAUUCUCGAAUUCUCCGUCUUCUCUCUUGAAUUUCUUCGUAUCUGUCGAUUUUCGUCGACUCUGUCGUCCCCGCGAUCGUCGUUUGUCUCGUCAUCUCUCUCGUCUCGAAGCUCGCCUUCUCUGUCGUCGUCUCUCUCGCCGUGUUGGUCGCCGUCUGUCUCGUCUCGAUUCUCGUAGUCUCUCUUGCCGUCUGUAUCGUCGUCUCUCUCGUGUUGAAUCUCGCCGUCUCUCUCAUCGUCUCUCUCGCCGUCUCUCUGGCCAUCUCUCUCGUCGUCUCUCUCGCCAUCUCUCUGGCCGUCUGUCUCGUCUCGAUUCUCGUCGUCUCUCUCACCGUCUGUCUCGUGUCGAUUCUCGUCGUCUCUCUCGAAUCUGGUCUGAAAUCUCGUCUCGGUCUCCUUAUCGGUAAGAAAUCAUCCUUUUGAUUUGUUCUGAAAUCUCACACUCUCUGUUCGUGAUCCCUUGUCUUUUGAAAAAGAACUUUUAUUAAAAGAUGAUAACAGUGGUGGUUUAUUUGAUAAUAUUGAGGAAGGUGAAAUCUAUUAGAUUGGUAGUAGAGUUUUGUUUGACUGUUGAAAAUAUUGAAUCCUUUGCAUAGAAACAGAGUCGGUUGGUUUGUUAUAACAAGUGUUGAUGAUGAAUUUUAGGAAGAACUGUCUCUAUUAGUCUGGAAGAAGAGUCGAUUGUGUUUCACAUUAUCACACCAAGCUGUUCUUGUCUUUAUUUUCAUAUGAUUUUGUGUUCGGUUAUCUGUGUAAAUAUUUGAUUGAUCAAGGUUUAUUACUUUGCUUAUAUAAUUCUAUUUUUGUUGGUUGUGUGAGGAGUGGUGAUCAUCAAGAAGCGGGAGCCGACAGUUGGGGAGUUUCCUUUCAUUCAUUACGGAUUCAACAUGGCCAGAAGAUCCAUCUUUCACUUCAAUCAGCAAGAGGUUAGCAGACUUGUCUUUAAUGCUUUGUUAGAGCUUCAUUAGGUUUGGAAAUUAAAUGGUAUUGGUUAGAGCUUGAUUAGGUUUGAAAAUUAAAUGGUAUCUGUUAGUUGUGUGGAUGUGAUUUGCUUUUGUUGUCGUGUUUCUUUUAGUUGUAGUUUCUUUUAGUUGUAGGUAUGAACAUUGAUUGCCAUUAACACACAAAGUAAGUAACUUCAACAACUAAAAAUUUUAAGUUUCCUUUAAAAUCUGAACAAUACUCCUAAACAACAACAUGUAAAACAAUCAAUUACUUCUCCUUUUCCACUUCCUUACAACGUUCCUAUUUCCUUUGAAUCCUUAAACAAUUUUAUGGAUUCAUAUACUCAACCUUCUAGCUUUAUGGAUCUCUUAAACCAUCAACAACCAAACACUCAACCUAGUGAAGAUAUCUCUGCGUCGAAUGUCUCUUUGUUCGGUCCUUGGUCUGAAGAAGAAAACGUUGAAGCCCACACUGUGGAGGACAGUAAAGAGAGAAGGAAGUGAACUCCAACAGAGGAUCAGGUGCUCAUCAGUGCUUGGUUGAACACCUCCAAAGACCCUGUGGUUGGGAAUGAGCAAAAAGCCAUUGCGUUUUGGAAACGCAUUGCAGCUUAUUUUGCUGCAAGUCCCAAGCUAUCUGGUUUGCAAACGAGAGAGCCUACUCAUUGCAAACAAAGGUGGGGGAAGAUCAAUGAGGGCGUCUGCAAGUUCGUUGGCUGCUAUGUUGCGGCAACAAAAGAGAAAUCAAGUUGCCAGAACGAGAAUGAUGUAAUGAAACUGGCUCAUGAGAUUUACUUCAAUGACUACAAGGCGAAGUUUACCCUUGAGCACGCAUGGUUGGAGCUGCGACACGAUCAAAAAUGGUGUGGCGCAUCUACAACUAAAGAUAAGGUGCAGUCAAAAAGGAGGAAGUUAGAUGAGCACUCUGCACAAUCAUCAACUUCUGUGGCUGGAGAGGAUGAUCAAUCCAAGCGCCUUAUUGGAGUUAAAGCGGAAAAGGCGAAAGGAAAAAGGGCUGUGAGCAAUGCAACGAAGUUGGAUGAGGAAGAAAAGGAGUUGCAGAGCAUCUGGGGUAUUAGACAGAAGGACUUUGCUUUGAAAGAUACUCUUAACAAGCAAAAAGAUACUCUUAACAAACAAAAUUGCUUGACUCUCUAAUUGCAAAGACUGUGCCAUUAACUGAACUCGAACUUGCCUUAAAAAACAAACUUAUUAAAGAUAUGUUGAGUCUUUAGUUGCGUCUGUAUGAUCUGGAUUUAACAAGUAAAAAUUGUUUGUGUCGAGUCUUUAGUUGUGUUUUAGUUGUCUCUGUGAGCUGUUUGUGUCGAGUUUGUAAGAUAAUUGCCUUAUCUUAAUGUAAAAUAGCUGUUUAAUGUUGUAAGAUUAAUGAUGUUUCUUAUCAUGCUGGUUAAUGUAUAAUAUUGUCCAUCUAUCCGUUAGUUUUGUUUCUUAUCAUGCUAUCUCUCUUUCAGUUUUGUUUCUUAUCAUGCUGUUUCUCAUGUGAUAGGCCAAGCUAAGACGUAAAGAGAGAGACAUGUGACACAAAGAAACAAAGAUGCCAACCAAGCCAAGACGUAAAGAGAGAGACAUGUGACACAAAGAAACAAAGAUAAGAAAGGCAAGACGUAAAGACAGAAACAUGUGACACAAAGAAACAAAGAUGCCAAGUCUUCUUUAUAAACUUUGCCAAGCCGUGGAGCGGACAACAAGUCUUCUUUAUAAACUUUGCCAAUUCUUUAAAAGUGUAUAAUAACAAGUCUUCUUCUCUCUUACCAUAUCACAAGAAACUUUUCCAAAUCUCUUCCGAAACAACACACCUCUCUUACAAUAUCACUACAAACAAGUCUUCUUCUCUCUUACCAUAUCACUACAAACAAGUCUUCUCUUCUCUUACCAUAUCAAUACAACACUUACCUUUUCUUCUAAAUGGCUUCUUCUUCUAAUAAUUUUAAAGACACUAAUAAUUUUGAAGACACGAUGGACGAGAGAUUCGACGAAAUUUUCGAUCAACGAUUCGAAAAUCUACUUAUUCAUAAAAAAGCUCAACAAGAAGCGUCAAGGUCAAAAAAGAAACGAGCCUACAUUGAAAGACAACGAGAACAAGGACACACGCAGUUAUGGAACGAUUAUUUUAGUGAAGAUGCAACAUAUCCGUCUCACAUGUUUCGUCGCCGUUUUCGAAUGAACAAGCCCUUGUUCAUGCGUAUUGUUGAUAGACUCUCUGCUGAAAUCCCAUACUUUCAACAAAGAAGAGAUGCUACUGGAAGGUUCGGUCACUCUCCGUUACAAAAGGCAACGGCAGCUAUCCGUAUGAUGGCGUAUGGUUGCCCAGCUGAUGCCGUCGACGAAUACCUCCGACUUGGUGAGACCACCGCGCUUUUAUGCUUGGAACAUUUUGUUCAAGGAAUCAUAAAUAUAUUUGGAGAUGAGUAUCUAAGAAGACCCACGCCAGAAGAUCUUCAACGACUACUCGAUAUUGGAGAGAUACGCGGAUUUCCCGGGAUGAUAGGAAGCAUCGAUUGUAUGCAUUGGGAGUGGAAGAAUUGUCCGACCGCAUGGAAAGGUCAAUAUACACGUGGAUCAGGAAAGCCAACCAUUGUUUUAGAGGCUGUAGCUUCACAAGAUCUCUGGAUAUGACACGCGUUUUUCGGACCACCAGGUACAUUACACGAUAUCAAUAUUCUUGAUCGAUCACCGGUUUUUGAUGAUAUAUUACAAGGUCGAGCUCCAAAAGUUAACUACAUAGUCAACGGAAACGAGUACCAUUUGGCUUACUAUCUCACAGAUGAUAUUUAUCCAAAAUGGGCUACUUUUGUCCAAUCUAUUCCACUUCCGCAAGGUCCAAAAGCAUCCUUAUUCGCUACAGAUCAAGAAGCUGUACGUAAAGAUGUCGAGCUUGCUUUUGGGGUCUUGCUAGCUCGAUUUGCCAUAGUCAAAAAUCCAGCUCUUUUGUGGGAUAAAAUAAAAAUUGGCAAGAUAAUGAGAGCAUGUAUCAUUCUACAUAAUAUGAUCGUAGAAGACGAACGAGAUGGCUACACUAAGUUUGAUGUAUCAGUUUUCGCACAACCGGAAUCAAACCGAAGUUCCCAAGUGGAUUUCACGUAUUCGACAGAUAUGCCUUCAAAUCUCGGGAAUAUGAUGAGCAUUCGGAAUCGAGUUCGUGAUUUAACAAUACAUCACCAGUUGAAAGCUGAUUUGGUUGAGCAUAUUUGACAAAAAUUUGGAAUAAAUCAAGAUUUCGACUAAUCGGCUUUUUCUCGUUUACGAUUUGUAUUUGUAUUUUUCAUAUGUUUUAUGUAAUUUUUAUUAAAAAUUUUAUGUAUGUUUUUAUUUUAAAUCAUUCUAAUUUAUGUUUUUAUUUUAAAUCAUUCUAAUUAAACAAAAUUUUUUUAAAAAAAAAUUAAGAACCCCUAUGGUUCUCCCAUUGGAGAAAGCAAAAAUUAAUUCCAAUAACCAAGGUUUUUAACUUAUCAAAUCACCUUAAAACCAACUAAUUUAAUCAUUAGAACCCAUUAGGGGUUCUAAUUAUGGGUUCUAAUGGAAGGAGUUGGUCUAAGUGUCUUCACAUCCAAGCCUCAAAUAUCGAAAAAAAAAAAAAAAAAGAAAACGGANNNNNNNNNNNNNNNNAAAUAUCGAAAAAAAAAAAAAAAAGAGAGAUCGAUGUGACGUGGUGAUGCAGAACUAGCCAAGAGCCUAAACUGAUAAAGCCAAACAUUACGAUACAAAAAUGAUGAAUCCUUUCUUCAUUGUGUUUAAAAAAAACAAUCCUUUCUUCAUAAAAAUUACAAAUUUGACAAAAUAAUUUGCAUCUACCAACAACCCAUGAAUUUAGAGAAGACAGUAAUUGGAACACGUUAUUUUAAGUUCAAUUGGUUUUGUAAUUAUUUAAAGUUAAUUCUAUCAAUUUAAUUUGGCUGGUUUAAUAAUUAGAAUCAGUGGCAUGAGAUGGUAAUUCUUUAGGAAAAAUUAGGAUUAUUUUAUUUUUAAAAAAAGAGAUGUAUUAUCAUGUAUUGCUCUCGUUGAGAGUCGAACUCAAGACCUCCCGCUUACUAAACGGGUGCUCUAACCAACUGAGCUACGAGAGAUUUCUGACCAUCAAAAUCAUAAUAUAUUUAACAAACAGCACAUGUAUUGAAAAUAAGAGGAACAUAAUAAGUAGGAUAUUCUGUGUUUAUACAAAAUAAUAGUCGCCUUAAGGAAUUACAAUACAGAUCAGGAACAGCUUCAGGGGGCAGAGAUCGUAGAAUCUCUCCGUUGAUCAUUUGCGAUUCAGAUGCCUUCCCGUAGACGUACCCUCCUCAAAGUCAUCAUCCUCGGCGAUAGCGGGUUAGCCAUCUCCAAAAACCCUCUCUUUUUAAAUGUAUUGAUUUGUUCGGAUGAGUAAUUGUUAUGUCUAGGGAUUUGAGAUUUAAGCAGGAUUUUAACUAAUUCCUUUCCUCCGGUUUAGAUAUGGUCGGUGCAUCUCUUAGUUUGGCUGCUGAGUAUGGUGGUUUUACAUAUGUGUUGUUGUUGCUUUCUUUUGCUAAAGUUGAGAACUUGACUUGACCCCCCCCCCCCUCAGUNNNNNNNNNNNNNNNNNNNNNNUUGCCCCCCCCCCCUUGACUUUGCUUUAACACGAUUUUAGUCUAUAGAUUGUCUUUAGCUUAAUAUCAUGUGUUUGAUUCUUGCUUGCUUGCUUCUUCUCCAACAACAUGUAGUUCAAAACUCUUAUGAUCCUAGGCUUGGUCUGUCUUGACUCCUCUCACUUGUGUUAUUUUGCAGGGUGGGGAAAACCUCUUUGAUGAAUCAGUAUCCUUCUUUUGCUUGAAUGGAGUAAUCACUAACAAUUAUAUGUUGUACUAGUUUUAUACAUAUGUAAGAACUUUUAGUUUACGCUUUUUGUUUUUGGGCUUAACUCGAUAAACUUUUUUAGAUAUGUUAAUAAAAAGUUCAGCAACCAGUACAAGGCCACCAUUGGAGCUGACUUCUUGACUAAGGAAGUCCACUUUGAAGAUCGCCUUUUCACUUUACAGGUUCUUACUAGUCUACUCUCGCUAUCAGUUAACUACUUCUUUUCUUGUUUAAGUAAGCUCAACGUAGUGGUGCUGUAUUUGUAUUCAAUAGAGAGUUUAUGGUAGUUUCAGCCAUUUUUUUAGUUGUUAGCUUAAUAGCUCUUCUUGAUAAGUAUCUCCCAUGAUAAAAAACAAACAAGGAUAGCUCUAAGUUGUUGGUCAGGCAUUCACAUUUGUGGGAGCUUACCCUCAACAAAUCUCUCACUUGUUUCUGUCUUUUCUGUGGGUUUUUACAGAUCUGGGAUACAGCUGGACAGGAAAGGUUCCAGAGCCUUGGCGUAGCUUUCUACCGGGGUGCUGAUUGUUGUGUUCUUGUAUAUGAUGUCAACUCCAUGAAAUCAUUUGAAAACCUCAACAACUGGCGAGAAGAGUUUCUCAUCCAGGUUCCAAAACCUCAACCUGGUUCUCACCCCUCAUACUAGGCAAAGCAUUAACUCAGAGUUUAACUGUCCCUUUACAGGCGAGUCCAUCUGAUCCAGAGAAUUUUCCCUUUGUUCUUAUCGGAAACAAGGUCGACGUGGAUGGUGGAAACAGCAGAGUGGUAUGUAUUAUGUAUGAUGAUAAGCCUACUUAAUUUUCCAUUGAGAUGUAACAUCAACUUCCACACAUUGAUGACGCACAGGUUUCAGAGAAGAAGGCUAAAGCUUGGUGUGCUUCAAAGGGAAACAUUCCCUACUUUGAGACCUCUGCUAAGGAAGGCACCAAUGUUGAGGAAGCUUUCCAAUGCAUUGCCAAGAACGCUCUGAAGACCGGAGAAGAGGAAGAGCUGUAAGUUUCAAAACAGUUCAGACUCUCUAUACAUCUUCGCGAGUUUGGUCUCAACGUUUCUCUUUCGUCUUUUCAGAUACUUGCCAGACACAAUCGAUGUGGGGACAAGCAAUCAACCGAGAUCUUCAGGGUGUGAAUGCUAAAUGGGUUUCUCUCUCUCUCCGAGAAGAAUGCUUUUGAUUUCAACAGUGUGUUUUGGUCUCUCCCAUUACCUCUCUUCACCAGCUAUCUCUAAAGUUUAUUACAUGCUGUAAAUUUGUUCUUUUGGGUGAAAAAAAGAACCCUUCAAAUCCAUGGACUACUUGAUCAGUGUUCCUUCUUUUUCAUUAUAUAAAAAGUUAUUUUAAAUGUGUGUUUGUUUUAAAAUUUAAACUAUUUCACAUUUUCUAAGCAGCUUUAUAUUGAUUUGAUAUUGCAUAAUUAAUUUCAGUUUAUAAUGUUUUUGAUAAUUGUUUGAAUUAUAUCCAAUUUGUGUAUUAAACAAUAUUUUCAAUUCUUUUAUCUAAGAACAACUGAUAUCAUAAAACAUGAGUAACUUUGUGGGUUUAUAAAGAAAACAUAUUAUUUCAUUCAAGUAACAUAUCUGAUCAAAUUUAUACAACUUUGGUAUGCCAAAUUCCCAUCCAAAUCCUAUUAAAAGAAAAACUCACUGCUUGUUUAAUCCAAUCUCAACCUCGGUAUUCGAACCGGAGUUCUUGUUCUUGGAGUCUCUCCACCUAAACCCACUAAAAAGCUCAUCCAUGUCCUCAAGCAUCCUCCCUUGCGUCUCCCGCAAGAACGUAUAGAAAAACACCCAAGCCACCGUCGCAAUCCCACCGAACAAAUAAAACGCUCCUCCGGUAGUCAUCCCUUUCGACAUCGGCAAAAACGUCAUCGAUAUCACACCGCUCGUCACUCUGUUCACCACCACUCCCAUACUCGACCCCUGCGACCUCAGCCUCAACGGGAAUAUCUCCGAGCUGUAAACCCACGUGAUAGGCCCAGCUCCGAUAGAAAACGUGGCCACGUAAGUCAUCACAGUCGCGAUGCUCAACACCACGGCCCACAUCACUUUCUUAUCCGACUGGUUUAUAACCGUCAGAGAGGUCCCUAAAACCGCUAAAGACAGCACCAUCCCUCCGACACUAGUUAGAAGCAACGGUCGUCUUCCGACACGGUCGAGUAAGAAAGUAGCGACUAAUAUAAACGAUGUUUUAACGACUCCUACCGCUACGGUCGCGAGAAGCUGCUCGUGAUCCGUUUCGAGCCCCGCGGUUUUGAAGAUCCUCGGCGAGAAGAGAACUACCGCGUCGAUGCCGGAAGCCUGCUGGAAGAAGUGGAUCCCGAUGGCGGCGAUCAUGACGCGGCGCACGGCGGGAGUGGGGCGGAGGAGGAGCUCUUUCCACACUCCUUCCCCGUGGCUGUUCCUCCUCGAGACCUGGACGACGUCGUCGUGGCAGUCGGCGGGGAUCCCGGCGGCUUCUUUGAUGUCUUCGAGGCGGAGGGAAGCUUCGGCGGGGGAAUCGGAGGUUUUGUCGAGGACGCGUUUGGCUUCGCCGAGGCGGCCUUGCAUGACGAGCCACCGCGGCGAUUCGGGCAUGGCGAGGACGCCGAUGGCGAGUACGACGGAAGGUAUGGCUCCGAUGCCGAGCAUGAAUCGCCAGCCGAGCUUCAGAGGGAACUUUGAGAAGGCGAGGUUUGAUACGUAGCCGAGCAUUAUUCCCGCGUUGAUGAAGACCUGUACACGUCAGCAAAACCAUUCCGUCACGUCAGAUAUUAUUGUCUUUUUUAUAAAUUAAUUAAAUUUGUCAUAACCUCUUUUGAAAACAUGGACCAAACCUACCAAACUAUCUAUAUUUUGGCCUAAAGGUUAUAAAGAUGAUGAACGAAAGUCAACGAUUUGUUGAUAAUGAUGUUUGUUUUUAAUAUUUUUUUUUACAAAAAAACUACUUUUGGUCGACUACUGAAAAAUACAUUUGACAUUAUGCUCUGAAUUUUUGUUUACUAGUAAAUUAAAAUGAUUUUCUGCUAAGUAACGUAAAUUUUAGACCAGAACUAAAAACUAAAACAUGCACCAAACCUACCAAAAUAACUAUAUUUUGGCUAAAUCGUUAUAUAUUUAUUUAUAUUUUUGUUACAAAAACCACUAAAUGUAAAAGAUAUAUACUAAGAUCAAAAAUACAUUUAACAACGCUUUUUCAGAAUUUUGUUUACAGGUAAUCAUUGUUAAAAGGAUUUUUCUGCUAAAGUAACAUACUUCUAGAAAAAAAAAGAUUUUUUUUAUCGUCCAUGGUCUAGGAUCAUUUUGCAAACAUUGAGUAAGUUAUAAGAUCAUUAGAUCCUAUAAAAAUAAGAGGUCAUAUAUAAUUGUUUUCAUAAAAAUUACAGGAAAUUACUCACUCCAAUGAAUCUGAUUAUAAUUUUGUUACGCGUUAGGCUUCCAGAAAAUUAAUCUUCAUUUAGCAACUUGAGAAAUUUUUAAUAUUAAUUUCAUUAAAAUAUAUAUACCUCAGGGANNNNNNNNNNNNNNNNNNNNNNNNNNNNNNNNNNNNNNNNGGAAAGAGGUGAGGAAGCCGCGAGAAGACGCCGGAGAGACUUCGGCGGUAUAGACAGGUGCGAUCAUGAGGGCAUAACCAACCCCUAUACCGGCGACAAACCUCCCGAACAUGAGAAAAGCGUAGUUAGGGGCGAAUCCCAUGAGGAGUGCUCCGGCGAAGAAUAUAGCUCCGGCCAACACGAUUGUGUAACGCCGACCAAUCCAGUCAGAUGUUCUACCAGCGGCGCAAGAUCCAAGGAGUGAAUAAAUGUUAAGGAUUCCGGCGAGAAUACCGAUUUGAAGAUCACUAAUCUUCAGAUCUCUCUUGAUAUAAAUCAUUGCUCCACUCAUCACUCCUAUAUCUAUAUAUUACAAAAAAUGAUUAUCAACUGACAAACGAGAUGUACACAUAGUCACACAUCUAAACAAAAGUAAUGUAUUGGAAUUAUAUGAAUCAGAUGUCAACAUCCAUAAAUGAUUAUGUGUUCAUCCUGAUAGUUAAAAAUGUGUGCCGACUUUAAAGAAUAUUGUGAUUGUAUAAUUAGAGGUGAUCUGUUAUUUUGUUGCGUUGACCAAAAAAGAGGCUAACGAGAAAACUAACCAUAACCAAGGAGGAUGGAAGUCAUGGAAGCUAAGAUUGCACACGCGAAAGCAUACUUGUUCCUCUUUGGUUUAGCCUGCGGACCUAACUCCGGUACAUGUUUUGUGGAAUCCCCAUGUUUUGUUGCCGGUGCUGGCGAAGGGACUGAUUGGUUUUCCGGCGUGAAACCUGUCAUUUAGAGUGCGGAGGGUGAGAGAGACAGUUGUGGGGACUGAGUAUACCAACAACUUGUGGCAAUGAGCUAUGUCUUAAAUAGACGUUUUGUGUUAAGACGAGUCACUUGGAAAGGGCAAAAUUGUCCGAUACAAUGGGAACACUGCCUGCCUAAAGUUACAUGCAUCACAUUGGCAUCUUUCGUUAGAGACAAAACAUAAAUAUCAGUAGAGGAACGGCAACUAAUGAUAAUACAUCAGUUUCGUUUUUAUAUGUAAUUAUUCAGUACAAUUUUAUAUUGACCUUAUUUGGAUGUACUCUACCAACAAUGACGACCACAUUGAAAAAUAUAGGAGGGCUUUAAAGGUAAAUCUCGUAAAAGGCUACUUGUUGUCCAUGUGAGCUUUGUUGAUCUUGAGGAUCGAACUAUUGAACACAUAAAAGACGGUUCAAAUAGUGUUAUUUAUUUCAAUUUAAAACCAUUUUCCUUCUGUAACCUACGGGUCUAAAUAAAUAAAUGAAAAACAACCAGCGGGCAGCUAAUAUAUUCGUGCGAUCUGGGGUAAGAUCACCAAUAGCCGCAGUUUACACAGCUUACAGAUUCGGAUCGAUGGCACUGGAUAUAUAAUAAAUCUAUGGCCAAGAAAUCUGUAUUAGUUUCCUAUUUUUCCUUAAUAUAGAUGUUUUCUGUCUAUGUUGAUUUUGUUUGUAGAUCGAUGUUUUCUGUCUGUGUAACUUAGAGAUCGAUGUUUAUUCCGGUGAACCAGAUCUGUACUGUUCAUAUCCCCAUUUAUGAGUCGAUUUAAUUUAAUAUAUAUUUUUUUAAAAAAAAUUGUAGUGUUUAUUCUGCGUACGGCGUACCUUGCUUUGAAGUUGAGACAAGGCUUAUCCAACAAUGAGACUUCUGAGAGUACUUCCUGUAUUGAAGGCCUUAGACCAUCUCUAAUAAUUCACCAUAUUUUUUAUUCUAAAAUCAAAUAAUUUUAUAAUAGAGUUGUGAUCCAAUAGUACUCUAUUUUAGAGUAAAAAAUAGAAUAUCAUUAUAAUAUAACUCAAAACUAUUAUAAAAUUACUUUAUGUUAGAGUAAAAAAUAAAGUGAACCAUCGGAUAUCGUGUUGCGGAAGUAAAACCUUAGUUUUGUGUAACGCAUGUUCUCUUGUUCGAAUCCUUUUGUAGCUUAUGUGAUGACUAUUCACGUACGUGUGCAUGUUUUUCACGUAUAAAACCAGAAAACAAACUACCUAAUGAAAUAUUUAUGCGUAAUUUGGAAUUCUAACUAAAGUAAGUUGAUUAAUUAAUGACUUUUUAUGCGUAAUUUGGGAUUCUGAUAACAUUUAUGAGUUUAUUAUUAUAUAUUUGAUUAAAUUGUGUUCAUUGCUGAAGUGUAUCAAGUACUAUUCCUUUUGUUUCUAGAAUAGUGUCAAUCUAGCAAUUUUUUUUUUGUUAUAUAUAAAAAAACAUUGUUUUAAAAUUUCAAUGCAUUUCAUACUUACUUUCAUCUCGAUAUUAAUUAUAAAAUGAAUUGAUCUAAUAAAUAAAUUUAUUUAUCUUAAAUAAUAUUAGUUUAACAUAUAUAAUUAAUGAAAAUAUAAAUACAUUUCAAUUAUUUUUUUAAUAUGUGUGAAAAAUGUAUAAGUGAUAUUUUGUAUGAAACAUAUAAAUUAUAAAUUAAGGCUCGUUAAAAAAAAAGUUCAUUAGAGAAGCCGGGUCAACACACACAACAGUCCAAGACCACAUGUCUUGAUUCUUCAAGAUGAUAAGAGGUAAAUUAAUCACUAACAACAAUACUAGAAGAUUCCUGCAAUUUUUUUUGUGGUAUAGUAUUCAUAUAUGAUAUUUAUGGAUAUACUUGCAAGAAACCAUCAGUCGAGAAGUCGUUUGCUUACGAGAGCAGUCGCUGUUACGAAGACUAUGAAUUUUCAAAACAUAUAUUGCUUGAACUUGUAGACUCUUUUAGUCAAAUUAACAACAAAAUCAAGUACUAUCAAAUACAUGUCAUAGUUUAAAAAAACAAAAAUCAAAUACAUGUCAUCUCCUUGAUCUGUCAGACACCCGUUUAAUAUAUUUCUAGAUUUCCAGCCUCCAGGAGCGUUUUGGUUAUGGUUAAACCCGUUGAUCUUUUCUAUUUGCCAUAUGAAAAUCCUCUCUAGCCUUUCCAUGGUACUAAAAGUAUAUGGUUCAGUAGCUCCCAUAGAAAUAAUAAAUUCUUACUGUAAUUCUUAGUACUUUAGGUGUAAUUAUAUCGCACACAUACAUAACUGUGGCAAUAUUAAUUCUUAUGGACUGUCGAGAUGUUUUGUUUAAGAGGACGGGUGAAAAUUAAAUAAUUGCAUCUACAGACUUAGGUGAUGAUUGUUUGUUUGGUUUCUAGUUUUUGGUUUUUAGUUUUUGAUUUUGCAGUAGAUUUUAGUUUUUUGAAAAACAUGAUUGGUGAUUUUAGAUUUUAAUUUUUAGUUUUUGGUUUUUGUUUACAAAAUAAUGAAAUGAAAAUAUUAUCAAUAGUAAAAUAUUUAUUCUAGAAAUAAAAAAUAUAAUAUCAUUACCAAAACACACAUAAGCUUAUUUUUUUUUUAAAAAAACAGCAAAAACAAAUAUAAUUUUAUGUUUAAACAUAAACUUAAAAUUUUAAUUCUGUGUUUAAACAUAAGUUAUAUAUACUUUGCUUUAUAAUUUUAAUAUAUUUAUACAUAAUCUAGCUAAAAUUAUUAAAAGGUACAUUAAUACAACUAAAUUUAUACAUAAUUUUUUUGUAUUGGCUAAAUUUUAAAAAUUAAAUUUCUUUUUUUUAUUAAUUAGUUUUAAUUUUUUUAUUAAAUUAUUUUAUAAUUUAAUAAAUUAAAUUAAAAAAUGUGGCUAUCGGUUCAUUAUUAGAUAAAAUAUUAUUCAACUGUAAUAGCUUUGGUAAAAUUAAGCUGUGUUAUAAAUAUUAUUCUUCUUAAAUUUUAUUCUAAGUUAUUUUAAUAAAAAUAAAAAUUAUUAUUAAAAAGGCCCUUUAUAUCCUAAAAAGAAUUUUUUUUUUACUGAUAUAGAUUAUUUUGUAGUUUUAGAAUUUAAAUUUAAAUGAUAGACAACAUUUUUUGUUGAUUCUUAGUAAUUUGGAAUAGUUACUAUAUUAUCACUAAUCUAUUUUUAUUUAUUUAUACUAUAUUAAUGCUCAAAUAUAGAAAUAAUAUUAAAAAAAAACAAAAAAAAGGUCACGUACAUUGUUUAAGGAAACCAAAAAAAUGUGGUUUUUAGUUUUUGCUAAGAAGUAGGUAGUUAUUUCAAAAUCUGGUUUUCUAAAUUUUAGGGAAUCUAUUUUUCAAAAAUCUUGAUUGGUAAAAAAAUAGAUUUUAGAAAAUCAAAAACAAAAAACCAUUUUAAAAACUGCAAACAAUCAAACAUCGGGUUUUUAACUUACUAUACUAUAUAUUUAGUAGUCAAAAGCUUUUUCUUGUCCACAUUACUACUAUUACUUAUUCUUUUUGACAAAUGGUUUACGACUAUUGCUUUUCUUCUGUACUGAUUGUUUCUCAUUGUGAUACUUAUAGUAUAUAUAUGUAUCAUGUCUUUAAAUAAAGAAAUAUGUAUCUAUGGGAAACAUCUUUAUAUAAUAAUAUAUGAACAUACAUCUUUUAUUUAACGAAAAAACAACGUACGUUUUCAAUAUUAUACCUUAUUUUAGUGUUUGCGUUUUGUCAAAAAGACUAAUUAAUUGUCGAUGAUAUUACCUCAACAUAUCAAUGUUAGAAAAGGACCAAUAAUUGAAGCAGCAAAUGGUGAAGUGGGCCAAGUUUUGGCAGUAAAGGCAGCCAUCAUGUGUGACCAUAUAGCAUUACGCAGCUCGGCAAUUUGGACUCUCAUAUGAUAUGAUUUGACUUCCACUUUCUAAUUUCCAAGGUGAUUUUACACACAUUUAUGUUCGUGCAAUCAUAAAUGUUAACUAUUUGAACUGUCAAGCAGAUAUACUAUACUCGUAAACAAACUUCUUGUAGAAUAGCUAUUUCCAAAAGAAUCUUAAAAGGCGGAGUAGGGAAGAUAAUAUUUUUCUUUUGUAUCAAUUAAUGCAUCACAAAGACAUUAUAUAUCUUAUCUAUCAUUAAAUGCAUGUUGUAAACUGAUACUUUUACUCUGUUUCAUUAUAAAUGUCGUUUUAGAUUUCGACACACAUAUUAAAAAAACAACUAAUUUUAUACAUUUCCUAUAAAAAAACACUAUUACCUAUGCGCCUAACCAUAUUUCAACCACUAAAAAUAUAAAUUUUGCAUAAAAUUAAUAAAUUUUGCAUUGAAAAUCGAAAACGACACUUAUUUUGUAACGAAAAAAUUCUCUAAAAUAACACUUAAUAUAAAACGGAUGGAGUAAAACAAAUGUGUCCUUAUUAGAAAUUCGUUGACUUUUAAGUUAACACCCAAGAGUAGUAUAGACAUAUCUAUGUAGUUGAAUUGGACCAUGACGCAAUAAGACAAUACUCCAUCCGUUUCGAAUUAUAUGUCGUUUUAGAGCAAAAUUUUUGUUUCAAGAUUAGUGUCGUUUUAUGAUUUCAAUGCAAAAUUUAUUGAUUUUUUAUUCUAAUCUAUUUUUCUAUUGAUUGAAAUAUGGUUAGGUGUAUUGGUAAUGAUGUUUUUAUCUAAUAAAUAGAUAAACUUAAAUAUUUUAUUAAUCUAUGUGUCGAAUUUUAGAACGACAAGUAAAAUGAAACGGAUGGAGUAUUUGUUUGUUUAUAAACUAGAUGAGAAAUUACUUUCUUUUUGUCGAGAAAUAAUCAACUACUUAACGAAGAUACUAUUACAUGUCCAACGUAUAACAUGCAAUAUCUACAUAUAUAUAUAUAUAUAUAUUAAAAAUGAGCUGCAAUAAAAGGAGCUAUUUUUUUUUUUUCCGUCAACUGAUUUAUAUUAGAACAUGAUGAAAUACAUAACCGGAACAAAGUGAAAUCUUCAGAACUAGAACCCAUACAAGGGUAACUUAAGUCCAAACACAAGCAACUACCAACAAACUGAAUGAUAACUUAAAAGAUUAAAGCAAGAUCAUACCUCUACACCCACAUACAUUAAUGUUCAAAGGCCGAAGAUAAAUAGUAAGGAGCCUAAAACAACCGGAUAACUUGCGGAGAACAACAUUCAGACAAGUGAGCAAGCGACGUGAAGGACAUAAACGACCUAAACUCAUCUGAACCUCUGGUCACGAUGAAGAGAUGAAGAGCCAGAACCACGCAAAUUAGCAUCCCACACGACACUGACCCCUGAACCCUAGAACCAAAAGAACUGAACCACCCGGGACAAACCGCUCCCCUGCAUCUUCAUCCAGUUGAUCCCACACCUCGACCUCUUUAUACUGCUUCAAACAUCCAAGAUGAAGCCACUGAGGAAUUAAGAGGGUAGCGAGCAAACCGGGAAAGAUCCUUAUUGAAAGAUGCGACGAGGAUUCCUUCGCGGCAUGAAAUGGAGAUGUGACUUAACCAACUUCAUCACAACGAAGAUGCUAACCAUGUUCUGCUCACGAACACGCCAAGACGCCACAGCUGAAACCGUUGCUGACACAAGACUAACUAGAACUAUUUAUGAGCCAUACAGAGCUUAAGUGGGUGACAUCCUCUCAACUUCACACAGCAAAAAACAGUUAUCGAGCUCCAUUGAACCUUCUCGAACCUUCUUUACCGGAACUGAGACACAGCAAAUGAAGAAGAGAGCAGCUGUAGGAAAAACUGGUAUAUGAAGGACCACAGGCCAAACAAAGAAACCAUAGAGAGCUAAUGCUGCAGUCCGCAACUAGAACCACCAUCUCCAUAACAACAAGACCAGGCAUAGGCUUCCACGCGCCUCCAACGCGCCAAGAACAGUGAUAAGCCAAAACCAGAUCUAGGAGAUAGGUAACAGAUUUUUCAUAGUCCGGAAACGAACAGCAAGCUAACCCCACAUCCAGUCCAUCAACAACAAAGUCAUUAGAUCCAGAUCUGAAACUCCAUGAAUGACAAAUCUAGGUGGAUAAACUGUUUUGAGAGGACACAAAGAGAACCAUGCAAGAUAACAAACGACACAAACUAACUAAGAAAUCUCCCAAGGUGCCAACGGCAAUGCGCCGGACACCUGAGAUAAUAAAACCACGGCAAGCUCUCCUUUUUUUUCUCUGCUCUCGACUUUUUUAACCAAAGUGGCAAUAAGAGGAGCUAAGCAAACCCUUUGUCAAAUAAAUAAAUAAAUAAAAGGAGCUAAGCAGUAGUCACGAUCUCAUAUUCUAAUUUAGAUUUAUGUUAAUACUACUAAGUUACUGAUCAAUUAGGUGUAGACUUCUGUAGAUAUGGUUUUCAAGCCUCGUGCGGCGUGUCCACAAUCUUCUACAAAA
rnacentral:lncRNA from 1 species